rnacentral:rRNA from 1 species
AGUGGCGGACGGGUGAGUAACGCGUAAGAAUCUAACUUCAGGACGGGGACAACAGUUGGAAACGACUGCUAAUACCCGAUGUGCCGCAAGGUGAAACCUAAUUGGCCUGAAGAAGAGCUUGCGUCUGAUUAGCUAGUUGGUGGGGUAAAGGCCUACCAAGGCGACGAUCAGUAGCUGGUCUGAGAGGAUGAGCAGCCACACUGGGACUGAGACACGGCCCAGACUCCUACGGGAGGCAGCAGUGGGAAAUUUUCCGCAAUGGGCGAAAGCCUGACGGAGCAACGCCGCGUGAGGGAGGAAGGUCUUUGGAUUGUAAACCUCUUUUCUCAAGGAAGAAGUUCUGACGGUACUUGAGGAAUCAGCCUCGGCUAACUCCGUGCCAGCAGCCGCGGUAAUACGGGGGAGGCAAGCGUUAUCCGGAAUUAUUGGGCGUAAAGCGUCCGCAGGUGGUCAGCCAAGUCUGCCGUCAAAUCAGGUUGCUUAACGACCUAAAGGCGGUGGAAACUGGCAGACUAGAGAGCAGUAGGGGUAGCAGGAAUUCCCAGUGUAGCGGUGAAAUGCGUAGAGAUUGGGAAGAACAUCGGUGGCGAAAGCGUGCUACUGGGCUGUAUCUGACACUCAGGGACGAAAGCUAGGGGAGCGAAAGGGAUUAGAUACCCCUGUAGUCCUAGCCGUAAACGAUGGAUACUAGGCGUGGCUU